CUUGCAUCUUACAUUCCAAAGCUUCCCCCUUCAUAAGCUUCCAGAAAAGUGUUUUCAGAAAGUUCAACAGCUCAUGAAGGUGGAAGUUUUGGGAAGUAUGUUGCAAG